rnacentral:rRNA from 1 species
AGUGAACGCUGGCGGUAGGCCUAACACAUGCAAGUCGAACGGCAGCACAGUAAGAGCUUGCUCUUACGGGUGGCGAGUGGCGGACGGGUGAGGAAUACAUCGGAAUCUACUUUUUCGUGGGGGAUAACGUAGGGAAACUUACGCUAAUACCGCAUACGACCUACGGGUGAAAGCAGGGGAUCUUCGGACCUUGCGCGAUUGAAUGAGCCGAUGUCGGAUUAGCUAGUUGGCGGGGUAAAGGCCCACCAAGGCGACGAUCCGUAGCUGGUCUGAGAGGAUGAUCAGCCACACUGGAACUGGGACACGGUCCAGGCUCCUACGGGAGGCAGCAGUGGGAAAUAUUGGACAAUGGGCGCGAGCCUGCUCCAGCCAUACCGCGUGGGUGAAGAAGACCUUCGGGUUGUAAAGCCCUUUUGUUGGGAAAGAAAAGCAGCAGGUUAAUACCCCGCUGUUCUGACGGUACCCAAAGAAUAAGCACCGGCUAACUUCGUG